rnacentral:lncRNA from 1 species
UGGGAACUUGAUGAAAUCUAACCCCAACAACAUACCCAUCUCAUAUUAAUCAACAUUCGUUCAUAUAUGUGCUCCUUUGCUAUUAAUCAAUUGCAUUCAUAUUUUAUUUUAUGUUUUUGAAUCCAAACCCAAUGAUCCCUUUUUAUUUUAUUUAAGUCUUAAUUAAUCUUGCUAUCACAAGACUAUUUAGCGCCUAGAGUCCUUUGGGAUACGAUAUUUGGUCUUACCAUUUUAUAUUACUUGUGUGACUCAGUACACUUACCAAUUUGCCCCCAACAAGUUUUUGGCGUCGUUGCCGGGGACUCACGAUUUAAGCUACUCUGUUUGUGUGAUUCUUGAUUAACUUUUACUUUAUUUUUGUUUUUGUUUUUAUUUUUUUCUUCCUAUUUUUAAUUUUGUUUUUAUUUUUAAUUUGUGUUCUAUUCUUUUUAUUUUUGUUUUUGUGCUAGUAGUGUUUUCUAGGAUUUUUUGUUUAGUUUGUGCAGGAUGCAAUUCUACGAAGGUAACUUCAACCACUGGUGGGAACCUCACUCAAGCAUGAAUCAAAGCCAAUUUGUGCAAGCUAGUGGACUAUUUACUAGACUACCAUAAGCCAACAAUACUACAAAGCUUGAGGAGGCUCUCAAGCAGUUCAAGCAGGAA